rnacentral:tRNA from 1 species
AAAAUUUUAGUUUAAUAAAAAUAUUUCAUUUACAAUGAGAAGAUUUAUUUAUAUAAAAUAAAAAUUUUA